rnacentral:lncRNA from 1 species
UGAUAUGCAGUGUUUUUACACGCAUACUUCUAAAUUUCCAAUCUCAUUAUUAUUAUUACAAAAGAAAGGCCAAUACACAGUCCCAUAAAGAACAAAAAGGCAUCCCCUCCCCUUUCAUAUGGUCCCUUUCUACACUACAUUUAUGAACACAAAAUGUCAUCUAUCUAUCCUCCAGAAACAACCGAAGAACAUAGCGUAAUUGAAAUUGCAAGUUUCCAAACCCUAGCAAGACAUAGACAAUAAUAAAACAAUCAACACGUGUCAAGGAACCAUGCAUCUUAGUCAUCAAGUAUCCCAAGCGAAAAACACUUUGGCUUUUGUUUCUUACUAAUUUGUUUUUUCAAAAGGACAAAUAUUUAUAACCUUAUUAUUGUGUGAUCGACUAAUAUAAUACACGUGGAACGAGGAUGGAUGAUCAUGAAGCAUAUAAGAGAAUUAUAAUACGACGUCGUUUGCCUCAUUUGCUGUUGGUAUCGGAAUCCAAUCGCAUCUUGUGGAUUCUUUGCCUUGAUUCUCUCUCAUCUCUCCUCUGCGCGUAGGCAUCAAAGAAGUCUUUGUUUUCUUUCUCCAACUCCUUCCACACUGCUAACGUUAAUGGCAAAAUUAAAAAAAAAAAAAAAAAAAAAAAAAAAAAAAAAAAAACCCCCC